AUGCCUCCGCAACCGCACUUCCUCGUGCUGACGUUCCCGCUCCAGGGCCACAUCGCGCCGGCGCUCCGCCUCGCCCGGCGCCUGCUCGUCGCCGCGCCCGACGCGCUCGUCACGUUCUCCACCACUGAAGCAGCGCACCGCCGCAUGUUCCCGGCGGAGGCGGACGCGCCCGACGGCGGCGGCGGCGAUGACUGCCGCCUCGAGCUCCUCCCGUUCUCGGACGGCACCGAGACCGGGUACGUUAGGAGCAGCACCGACCCCGCGGCCUUCACCGACUACAUGGCGUCCUUCCAGGCCGCGGGCGCGCGCAGCGUCGGGGAGCUCGUGGAUGCGCUCGCCGUGCGCGGCCGCCCCGUGACCCGCGUCGUGUACACGAUGCUCCUCCCGUGGGCCGCGGACGUGGCGCGCGAGAAGGGCCUGCCGUCCGCGCUCUACUGGAUCCAGCCGGCCGCCGUGCUCGCCGUCUACUACCACUACUUCCACGGCCACGCCGCCGUCGUCGCCGACCACCGCCACGACCCGUCGUUCCUCGUGCGGUUCCCGGGCCUCCCGACGCAGGCCGUGCGGGACCUCCCGUCCUUCCUCACCGAGUCCACCGACCCGUCCGAUUUCUUCCACAGCGUGUACACUACCGUACGCGACCUGUUCGACACGCUCGACAGGGAGACCCCCAGAGCCACCGUGCUCGUCAACACGUGCCAGGAACUCGAGGAGGGCGCGCUCGCCGCGGUGGGAGCGUACGAUGCGCUGCCGAUCGGCCCGGUGCUCCCGUCCGGCGACGAGGCCGGCCUCUUCAAGCAGGACGACGCCAAGUACAUGGAGUGGCUCGACGCCAAACCAGCCGAUUCCGUGGUGUACGUCGCGUUCGGCAGCCUGGCGAGGAUGGAGAGGGAGCAGCUCGACGAGCUGCUCCUCGGACUCGAGGAGACCGGGAGGCCGUACCUGUGCGUCGUCCGGAAGGACAUCAAGGCAGAGCUCGCGGAUGGCGAAGCGUCGGAGACGGAGAUGGACGCGCCACUCAAGAACGGCAUGGUGGUGGAGUGGUGCGACCAGGUGCGUGUGCUGUCGCACGCGGCGGUGGGUUGCUUCGUGACGCACUGCGGGUGGAACUCCGUGAUGGAGAGCGUGGCGUGCGGCGUGCCGAUGGUGUGCGUGCCAAAGAUGUCGGACCAGCGGAUGAACGCGUGGCUCGUCGAGUGCGAGUGGCGCGUGGGAGCGCGCGCGGAGGUGGGUGGCGACGGCGUGCUUCGCGCGGCCGAGGUGAGGCGGCGUGUAGAGGAGGUGAUGCGGGAGGGCGAGGCCGCGGGGGGCGCACGGCGCGCGGCGUCAGAGUGGAAGGCGGCGGUCGUAGAGGCUCUGCGGAAAGGUGGCUCGUCGGAUCGUAAUCUAAGGGUGUUCCUCGAGGGCAUCACUAGUGGUGUCUCCUUGUGA
rnacentral:rRNA from 1 species